AAGCACCAUAACACUUUUGGUUUUUUAGGAAAUCACUUAAUUGGCGGCGGGAGGUAUCACUUUCUUCAAUAAUUUCAGUUGCCAACACUAGUCUAUGAAAGGUGAAUCUUGAACAGUUGAAAAAAAUGUGAUUCAUGUCGGCGUUCUCUUCGUUACAAAAAGUGCAAUUAUUGCUGCUUAUUAUGUUCAAUCUCGCAAGGUGUGCAGGUGCAGUGUUAUGACCAAAUCUGAGUCUGUUUAUUGUUGUGAUAAAGUCACGGUUCGCUAUCUUCAGCUCAUUGUACCAUGGAUUUGUCGGAAAAUCCGGCACAAAGUUGGGGACAGCCCAGUCAGAAGAUCAUGAGGUGAAGCUAAUGGACCAUCUGUGAUGAUUGGGUGAGAUCGUGGAUGAGAGAAAUGAAGCUGUCUGAACAACUUCGUCCUCUACGGAACCCAUACUGAAUUUGAGGAAUGAUGUUAUGAGAUUCUGCGUACCAAUCCAGGCGGUUCUUUAGCAUAUUUUCAAAUAUCUUACCAAUACAUGACGAUAAAGAUAUUGGCCGAUAAGAACUGGCCUCCUCUGGUGGUUUAUC